CCAGCAGCCGCGGUAAUACGGAGGAUGCAAGCGUUAUCCGGAUUCAUUGGGUUUAAAGGGUGCGCAGGCUGUAAAGCAAGUCAGUGGUGAAAGCCCUGGGCUUAACUCAGGGAUUGCCAUUGAAACUGUUUUACUAGAGUGUAGUAGAGGACGGCGGAAUGAGUUGUGUAGCGGUGAAAUGCAUAGAUAUAACUCAGAACACCUAUUGCGUAGGCAGCUGUCUAUACUACAACUGACGCUGAGGCACGAAAGCGUGGGGAGCGAACAGGAUUAGAUACCCUGGUAGUCCACGCUGUAAACGAUGAUCACUCGUUGUUGGCUACUUAGUAGUCAGUGACCAAGGGAAACCGAUAAGUGAUCCACCUGGGGAGUACGUCGGCAACGAUGAAACUCAAAGGAAUUGACGGGGGCCCGCACAAGCGGAGGAACAUGUGGUUUAAUUCGAUGAUACGCGAGGAACCUUACCUGGGCUUAAAUGCUGGCUGCAUUGGAGGGAAACCUUCAUUUCCUACGGGACCGCCAGCAAGGUGCUGCAUGGUUGUCGUCAGCUCGUGCCGUGAGGUGUCGGGUUAAGUCCCAUAACGAGCGCAACCCCUAUCGCUAGUUGCCAGCAUGUAAUGGUGGGGACUCUAGCGAGACUGCCGGUGUAAACCGGAGGAAGGUGGGGAUGACGUCAAAUCAGCACGGCCCUUACGUCCAGGGCUACACACGUGUUACAAUGGCCGGUACAAAGAGCAGCCACCUGGCGACAGGGCGCUAAUCUCUAAAACCGGUCUCAGUUCGGAUCGAAGUCUGCAAUUCGACUUCGUGAAGGUGGAUUCGCUAG
rnacentral:rRNA from 1 species